AUACCAAUUUCUUGCUGAGUGUUCACACUGUAAUGAGCAUUGGGUGUCCAGCAGCAGGUUAAUCCUGCCCUGGUAUGGACACAUUUUAUUAGUGAUUAAUUUUUUUGUAAUUCAAUACACCAUCAAAGAUUAAAAAAAACGUAGCUUUUUUUUCAACCCUUACAAAAGUUUUCUAGAACCCUGAUAAUUUAAUGUUAACAGUCUUACUGAGCAUUCAGCUCUUUUGCCUCUAAGCUCUGUGAUGAACAAUCUAACCUUUGGUAACUUUGCAUGUGUUGUUGGCAGUAUGAACACACAUUUAGAGUCUGAUCAUUGAUUAAAAAUUAAUGAUUAAGUGCUCUUCCAUUGUCAUAAUCCUCAUCAUCAGAGGCGUGUUCACAUCAAACAUGUCAGGGGCAUUUUCUCUUUUUUUAAUUAUUUAUUGUUUAAAUGAAUAUUAUGUAUUUAUUAUUUAAAUACAUAUUCAUAAUACAAUGGCACUAAUGUAACUAAUUACUGUUAGAAAAGCAAUAGUCUAGCAAUUUAAAUGAAUGCAAACAAAUUCAAAUGUAUUAUUAUUUCUCACUUUAAUAUUUAUGUGAUCUUUGAUAGAGCUCAAGACACAUCAUGAAAACACGUCCUAUAUAACAGUGAACAAUAAAGUAAUUUCUCUUAACAUUACCUGUUAUCUCAUACCUGUAAUAAAAAAAAAUCAAUAAGCUAAAUUUGAUUGUACGUUGUAAAAACAACUAUAAUUCAAGUAUCUUUUUCCACAGUGGAACAAAGAAAACAAACUGGUCACUAUCCUAAGAGUCAAAAAAUCACACAUCAGUGAUCCAUAAAUUAAAGACACUGGAUCAUUUGAAAUUUACCAUAUAUUUUCCACACUGUUAAACAUUUUAAGCUGGUUGAACUUAAAAAGCUGCCUUAAAUAUCUGAGCUAACAUAACUUAAUUAGAAUACAUUAAAAGUAGCCUUAUGAGUUGUGAACAUUUAAAACCAACAGGGUAAAGUUUAACUAACUUGAGAAAGCAAAUUCAAUUAACUUAAAAUAUUGAAAGUCCAAUAUUGUAAAAAGUAAGAUUUCAUGUCUUAUUUUUAAUUAUAAAGCAAGUCGAGGUGCUAUAUAAAUACUGUGAAAGUA